GAAAGAAAGAUUAAUAUCCGAUAGCAUAUAUUUCCCGCAUGGGUUUUAUAUUAAAGAAAUUCGGUAUGAGAUGGGGAUGCGUUCCAUUAGUUUGUUGGGGGGGUAACGGCCCACCAAGACUACGAUGGAUAGGGGUUCUGAGAGGAAGGUCCCCCACAUUGGAACUGAGACACGGUCCAAACUCCUACGGGAGGCAGCAGUGAGGAAUAUCGGUCAAUGGACGCGAGUCUGAACCAGCCAAGUAGCGUGAAGGAUGACUGCCCUAUGGGUUGUAAACUUCUUUUAUAUGGGAAUAAAGUUGUCCACGUGUGGAUUUUUGUAUGUACCAUAUGAAUAAGGAUCGGCUAACUCCGUGCCAGCAGCCGCGGUAAUACGGAGGAUCCGAGCGUUAUCCGGAUUUAUUGGGUUUAAAGGGAGCGUAGGCGGAUUGUUAAGUCAGUUGUGAAAGUUUGCGGCUCAACCGUAAAAUUGCAGUUGAUACUGGCAGUCUUGAGUGCAGUGGAGGUGGGCGGAAUUCGUGGUGUAGCGGUGAAAUGCUUAGAUAUCACGAAGAACUCCGAUUGCGAAGGCAGCUCACUGGAGUGUAACUGACGCUGAUGCUCGAAAGUGUGGGUAUCAAACAGGAUUAGAUACCCUGGUAGUCCACACAGUAAACGAAGAAGACUCGCUGUUUGCGAUAUACAGUAAGCG
rnacentral:rRNA from 1 species